rnacentral:rRNA from 1 species
UAUCACUAAGCGGANNNNNCUAACAAGGAGUCCCUCAGUAGCGGCGAGUGAAGAGGGAUGAGCCCAUCGCUGAAUCCCAGCCCCGGCGGGCAGUUGUGGCGUGAGGCGGCUUCUGGCCCGCGAUUCUUGCGACGCCGAGGUCCUCUUGAUCGGGGCAACCUUACCUGUAGCGGGUGUCAGGCCCAUUCGGNNNCCGGGUCUCGAGGGCCUGUAGCCGCCGUGAGUCGGGUAGUUUGGGAAUGCUGCCCAAAGAAAAGGGGUGGUGAACUCCAUCCAAGGCUUUUAAAACACUGGCAACGAGACCGAUAGCAGACAAGUACCGUGAGGAAAGUUGAAAAGAACUCUGAAGAGAGAGUUCAAGAGGACGUGAAACCGCUAAGAAGUAAACGGGCAGGACUCGCGGCACGGGCCCGAGAAGAUUCAGCGCGCUGGUCGUGGCCACAGCGCCCGCUCUGUGGGGCCGAUCGCGGGCCACGGUCGGAGCGUGCACUUCUCCCGGGCGCGGCGCUCGGGACCAGCAUGCCUCUUCGUCGGCCGACCGCUUCCGCGCAGGUACCUCUCACCACUCGUGGGCGUGGAGAACUAAUGGCGUGGUGCUCGCAACGCCAGACCGAGCUGCUGAGGAGAGGAGCGAGUCGCGCCUGCCUCAUCUCGASSUGCGCCCGUCCGCCUUCCGCAGACCUCCCCGUGGCACGCAGUAGCCUCGAGGGCAAGCGGCCAGAGUGUUCGGGUCGACGUGGUGCUUCGGUCGCCGAGCGAAGCUGGGCGCCUGCUCGACCCGUCUUGAAACACGGACCAAGGAGUCUAACGGACCCGCAAGUCAAGGGGAGCGAUCCAAACCCCACGGCGCAAUGAAGGUAUAGGUUGACCAGGUCGGCCGACGUGGGAUUCCACCCGGAGAAACACAGAAGGGGGGGUCGCACCACGGCCCCGCCACGUCCGCUCCGCUUGGUGUGGCGGAGGCAGAGCGGGAACGCUAGGACCCGAAAGAUGGUGAACUAUGCCCGAGCAGGAUGAAGUCAGAGGAAACUCUGAUGGAGGUCCGCAGCGAUUCUGACGUGCAAAUCGAUCGUCCGACUCGGGUAUAGGGGCGAAAGACUAAUCGAACCAUCUAGUAGCUGGUUCCCU